AGUAAAUAAACAUAAUGAGCAAAAAAGAGGUAAAAGUAGAAUGGUAAUAGAUUAUAGGAAUUUAAAUGCAAAAACAAAAAUAUAUAAUUACCCGAUACCAAAUAAAAUAUUAAAAAUAAGGCAAGUACAAGGAUAUAAUUACUUCAGUAAAUUCGAUUGUAAAUCAGGAUUUUAUCACCUAAAAUUAGAAGAAGAAUCUAAAAAAUUAACAGCUUUUACAGUACCACAAGGAUUUUAUGAAUGGAACGUUUUACCAUUUGGAUAUAAAAAUGCACCAGGAAGAUACCAACAUUUUAUGGAUAGCUAUUUUAAUCAAUUAGAAAACUGUAUAAUCUACAUAGACGAUAUACUACUAUACUCAAGGACACAAGAACAACAUAUAAAAUUAUUAUUAGAAAAAUUCAUACAUAUAAUAGAAUCCUCAGGAAUUAGCCUUAGUAAAAAUAAGGCAGAAAUACUUAAAAAUCAGGUAGAAUUGGNGAAUUCAAAUAGAUAAAAAUGGAAUUAAAAUGCAAAUACAUAUAGUACAAAAAAUAAUAAAUUUAAAUGAAACCCUAGAUACAAAAAAGAAAUUACAAUCAUUCUUAGGAUUAGUUAACCAAGUUAGAGAAUAUAUACCUAAAUUGGCAGAAAAUUUAAAACCUUUACAGAAAAAAUUAAAGAAAGAUAUAGAAUAUCACUUUGAUGAAAAAGACAAAAGAUAUAUACAAAAAAUAAAAGAUAUGUGUAAAAAAUUACCAAAACUAUAUUUUCCAGAUGAAAAUAGAGAAUUUAUAUAUAUAGUAGAGACAGACUCAAGUAACCAUAGUUAUGGAGGAGUACUUAAAUACAAAUAUAAGGAUGAAAAAAUAGAACAUCACUGUAGAUAUUAUUCAGGAUCAUUUACGGAACCACAGUUAAAAUGGGAAAUAAAUAGAAAAGAAUUAUUAGCUUUAUAUAAGUGUUUAUUAUCGUUUGAACCAUAUAUAGUAUAUAACAAAUUUAUUGUUAGAACAGAUAACACACAAGUUAAAUGGUGGAUAACCAAAAAGGUACAAGACUCAGUUACAACGAAAGAAAUACGAAGACUCGUAUUAAAUAUACUAAAUUUCACAUUUACAAUAGAAAUAAUUCCUACUGACAAGAAUGUGAUUGCAGAUUACUUAUCAAGACAAAAGUACACAAACAAAUGAAGAAGAAACUACACAAGACCUAUUUUCAAUACUUACUACACUAUCACUACAAAUGACGGAAGUAGAAAAGAGGUUGCAGAUUAUAGAAGCAAAAAACCUAAGCCAGCAGCAUGGCUCAAAACAUGCGGAACUAAGCCAGCAGCAUGGCUCAAAACAUGCGGACCUAGGAGGUGACGUUGGGAAACACCUAAAAACCCAAAACCUACAAACUAACACUAUUUUACAUACAGCUGCAGGUACAUCAACAUCAGCAAUAAGAAAAGGAAAACAUAAAAUACAAAUAUGAACGCCAUGUUCAACAAGCCAUAUACCCCAAAAUCCCAAAAUCCUUUGACACCAUCACCACAAACAACUAGCUAUAGAG
rnacentral:lncRNA from 1 species